AACGAACGCUGGCGGCGUGCCUAACACAUGCAAGUCGUGCGAGAAAGUUCCUUCGGGAGCGAGUAAAGCGGCGCACGGGUGAGUAACACGUAGGUAACCUGCCCCCCAGUCUGGAACAACUAGAGGAAACUCUAGCUAAUGCCGGAUGAGACCACGAUCCCUUCGGGGGUUGCGGCCAAAGAUGGCCUCUACUUGUAAGCUAUCGCUGGGGGAUGGGCCUGCGGGCCAUUAGCUUGUUGGUGAGGUAACGGCUCACCAAGGCUGUGAUGGCUAGCUGGUCUGAGAGGAUGACCAGCCACACUGGGACUGAGACACGGCCCAGACUCCUACGGGAGGCAGCAGUGGGGAAUAUUGCGCAAUGGGCGAAAGCCUGACGCAGCGACGCCGCGUGGGUGAUGAAGGCCUCGGUCGGUAACG
rnacentral:rRNA from 1 species